GCCCCCUGCGCGAGUCCUCAGCCCCGCCCCGGGCCUACGUCAGCGCAAGCCCCGCCCCUGCCCGGCCGCGCCCGCUCGCCGUCCCGCAGCCUCCUGGGAGGGCUACUCGGCCGCGCGCGGACCUCGGGCGCCUUCCAAGGGGCCGGUGGGCUGGGGGAUGGCGGGCGCGGGUGCACACGCGCACACACUCCCCGCGCGGGGCGCUCGGCCUCUGUCUCCUUCCGCUUGCCGUAGGAGGCGGUGCGGCGCUGAUAGUGGGCAACCACUACCGCCUCGGUGGACCGGUGCCGCGCAGCCGGUGCCCAGGUCUCCGGGGGCAGCCUCUGCCAGCGAGAGUUUUAUCAGUAAACACCCUGAGAGCAGUUGAGUCACAGCAGCACUCUUUACUCAGGAAAAGCCUACCCCCUGUGACUCACGGUCUUCACCUGACUGCCGAUCCGCUCGUCCUGUAAGCUCCCCAGCGAUGUGAGGAGGUGGAAGGAAAGCAAAGUGGACUUCAUGCUAUCUACCUGGUUUCCCCUCGCCCAUCCUCUACUUGUGUGACCUUGGAAAGAUCCCAGUACUUCUGGGUCCUGCUUUUCUUAAAUGUAAAGUGAGGUGUGGACGAGAUGUCUCAGGUUUAUCGUCAAACCCAGAAAUGGCAUUCGGAAUCUUAGUUCCCUGACCAGGGAUGGAACCCAUUCCCCCUGCACUGGAAACGUGGAGUCUUAACCACCUCAGACCACCAGCAAAGUCCCAGGGUUUUGUUUUGUUUUUUUUUAAUUAAAGCUGGCUGAGUACAUUCUUUAAUUGCCUCCUCUUCCUAAAACCCUGUUAAAAUGCUCAUAAAGAAAUGAAAAAUGAUACAAACCAGUACAGAACAGAAAGUGGGAAGGGAGCCACCAAAUUUUUGUUGUUGUUAAUUUUACACGGAGAAAGUGAGUGUGGUCUGACUGAACAAAAUGGAAGAAACCAUAGUUUGGAAUAGGUGUAGGGAAUGAGUACUGCAGUUGAGGAAGGAGGCCUAGCAGCCAGAAGUGAUUUAAAGAAACUGAAAUUUGGAGUCAUCAGCACAACAGACCAAGAGUGAGAAGCAGGGAUGAAAACAAGGAAACUAAAUAAAGGUUUCUAUGUAGAACAGCAGUACCCCAGCCCUCCCCACCCCAUACCUCAGAUACAAUAGCUAGGCAUUUAUCCCAGGCUAAAAGUCAAGUUCUUAUAAUCUCUGGGGAGCAUUUAAUGACUAAGAGUAAAGCAUUCUUUAUUCUGGCACAAUAGCCAGCUUCCUACCCACUCACCCUAGAGUGAAGUUGGCAAGACCCUCCCAAGUUCUAAAGAUUCGUCAUCAGCGUCCAACUAUUUCAUCUUAGAUAUGAACAGAUAACCAAGGGCUGUUAGGUAUUUAAGGGAAGUCUCCAACUUGGGGCUGACAGAGGAGAAAAUGUGACCAUAGAGGAAAAAGAUACUUCAGAGAACUUAAAAAAAUAGAGUAUGCUCCCAACUUACUACAGCUAUGAAAAAAGGAUAAUAUAUAAGUUAACACUCUAGGAACAAAAAGUAAAUCUUAAAUUAGAAAUUGCCAAAAUUGUAAAUUCAAAG
ensembl:lncRNA